UGCUUGUAUCUUCAAAUAGAUUAAAACCAUAAAAACAUUGAGUAUUCCACACAUAAUUCCCAGAUAACUUUCAAAUACUGAGAAUUUAACACAAGCAAGGACAUAGUAUUGGAAUUUAUUGUGUUGUGAAUGCUGAGUUUAGUAAUGUCGACAUUUUGAAGCUCCCCACGGCAACUUGUAUCCUUAAAUAAACUAAAACCAUAAUAACACUAAAUAUUUCACACAUAAUUCCGUGAUACUUUUCCAACACUGAGAAUUUAACACAUACAAGGACAUAGUAUUGGAAUUUAUAGCGGGCAAGGAGAAGAGAGUGAAUUCCUUGAGAGAGCCACAGUUGAUGAUGGCGUCGGUACCUGCCGCCAAGAGACACGGUUGACCUAACUGGAGUGCCGUUAUAUUUUCAGCCUGUAUAGAGGUGACAGUGCCGUGACAGAGGUGGUGGAGGUUAUUAAUGCACCAAGGAACAGGUGUGUAAGGUGUGGCAGUGGUGUUGAUAAGGGAUUAGUGUGUAAGGAAGGAAAGAAUUGUGGUGGGCCGAGUGCACAACAAACAGUGGUGAUGGCCGUGUGGUGUUGCUUAUACACCCCAUAAACACCCCGCAACACAUCCACAACAUGCCCAUUUACACCCAAACACACAAAGUGAAGUGAUGACAUUCCCGACAGCACCAGCGGCAAGACAAGAGACCAAUGCAACUCUUCACCACGACUCUCCACAACGCCUCACCAUCAUUUAUUUCAGGCUCAGGCGUGUAGAUGGGAGCAGUAGAAGAAAGAAAAAAGGAAGAAGAAAGGAAAAUGGAAGUGGAAGAAGAGGAGGAGCCAAACCACAAUAUUUAGGUCCGCAGAAAACGACACGCCGAUUUAUUUGAAGUGAAGGACAGAGAUUAAAACGGCCUUGAAAAACACCACACCUGUUUUGUCCACCGCCAUCACCACCUUCUCCCAGAUCAAGGACAAACUGUAUUACAGACUCACACAUAAGGAAGAGGUGCGUGUGAGUGUGUUUGGGUGUGUUUGGAUGCGUUUGGGUGUGUUUUGGGUCUGUUUGGGUGUGUUUUGAGGUGUUUU